AAACAAAAAAAAAAAAAAAAAAAAAAAAAAAAAA
rnacentral:ribozyme from 1 species